CGGAGGAUCCAAGUCGUUAUCCGGAUUCAUUGGGUUUAAAGGGUGCGUAGGCGGAAUAAUAAGUCAGUGGUGAAAGCCCUCAGCUUAACUGAGGAACUGCCAUUGAUACUGUUAAUCUUGAGUACAUUUGAUGUGGGCGGAAUGUGUCAUGUAGCGGUGAAAUGCUUAGAUAUGACACAGAACACCGAUUGCGAAGGCAGCUCACAAAACUGUAACUGACGCUGAGGCACGAAAGCGUGGGUAUCAAACAGGAUUAGAUACCCUGGUAGUCCACGCUGUAAACUAUGAUUACUCGAUGUUUGCGAUAUACUGUAAGCGUCUAAGCGAAAGCAAUAAGUAAUCCACCUGGGGAGUACGCUCGCAAGAGUG
rnacentral:rRNA from 1 species